rnacentral:tRNA from 1 species
GAUCUUUUGGUGAAAUUAUAUCACAAUGAGAUUUCAACUCAUAGUUACCAAGAUUAC